GACGAACGCUGGCGGCGUGCUUAACACAUGCAAGUCGAGCGGUAAGGCCCUUUCGGGGGUACACGAGCGGCGAACGGGUGAGUAACACGUGGGUGACCUGCCCUCAGCUCUGGGAUAAGCCUGGGAAACCGGGUCUAAUACCGGAUAUGACUCCAUGACGCAUGGUUGUGGGGGUGGAAAGCCUUGUGCGGCUGAGGAUGGGCCCGCGGCCUAUCAGCUUGUUGGUGGGGUGAUGGCCUACCAAGGCGACGACGGGUAGCCGGCCUGAGAGGGCGACCGGCCACACUGGGACUGAGACACGGGCCCAGACUCCUACGGGAGGCAGCAGGUGGGGAAUCUUGCGCAAUGGGCGAAAGCCUGACGCAGCGACGCCGCGUGA
rnacentral:rRNA from 1 species